rnacentral:rRNA from 1 species
UGGGGAAUAUUGCACAAUGGAGGGAACUCUGAUGCAGCGACGCCGCGUGAACGAAGAAGGCUUUCGAGUCGUAAAGUUCUUUUAUAUGGGAAGAUAAUGACGGUACCAUAAAAAAAAGCCCCGGCUAACUACGUGCCAGCAGCCGCGGUAAUACGUAGGGGGCUAGCGUUGUCCGGAAUCACUGGGCGUAAAGGGUUCGCAGGCGGAAAUGCAAGUCAGGUGUAAAAGGCAGUAGCUUAACUACUGUAAGCAUUUGAAACUGCAUAUCUUGAGAAGAGUAGAGAUAAGUGGAAUUUUUAGUGUAGCGGUGAAAUGCGUAGAUAUUAAAAAGAAUACCGGUGGCGAAGGCGACUUACUGGGCUCAUUCUGACGCUGAGGAACGAAAGCGUGGGUAGCAAACAGG